rnacentral:rRNA from 1 species
UACAGAGGUCUCGAGCGUUAGGCGGAAUCACUGGGCUUAAAGCGUGUGUAGGCGGGUCGUUAAGUGCCUUGUGAAAUCCCAUGGCUCAACCAUGGAACUGCUGGGCAUACUGGCGAUCUUGUGCCACCUAGGGGCGAGCGGAACAAAUGGUGGAGCGGUGAAAUGCGUAGAUAUCAUUUGGAACGCCAAUGGUGAAAACAGCUCGCUGGGAAUGAUCUGACGCUGAGACGCGAAAGCCAGGGGAGCGAACGGG